CUACAGAGGGAGACUAUCUCAAAAGGGAAGCAAUCCCAUGGGGGCCUGGUGUGCAGUGGUUACAAAGAGCAUCUUCCUUGGUAGUGUGCCCAGCCUGUUGCAUAUAUGGGUUGCCUAAGGGACCUUGGAGACAAAU